rnacentral:rRNA from 1 species
AUUGAACGCUGGCGGCAGGCCUAACACAUGCAAGUCGAAGGGAGUGGCGAACGGGUGAGUAACACGCGAGUAACCUGCCCUUUUCUUUGGGAUAAGCCUGGGAAACGGCAUCUAAUACUGGCUGGAUUGGGAUUGGCUCGCGGCUGAUCAGCUUGUUGGUGGGGUGAUGGCUUACCAAGGCUUUGACGGGUAGCCGGCCUGAGAGGGUGGUCGGUCACGAUGGGACUGAGAAUCGGCCCAGACUCCUACGGGAGGCAGCAGUGGGGGAUAUUGCACAAUGGAAGAAAGUCUGAUGCAGCGACGUCGUGUGGGGGAUGAAGGCCUUAGGGGUGUAAACUCCUUUCGCCCGCGGAAUGGUAGUGGGUAAAGAAGCGCCGGCUAACUACGUGCCAGCAGCCGCGGUAAUUC